AAGUUGUAACAAGGUUUCUGUAGGUGAACCUGCGGAAGGAUUAUUAUUGUAAGGGCUUCAGCCUUAUUAAGAUAGAACCCUUGCCUUUAUAGUACCUUCUGUUGCCUUGGCAAUGCGUAAUAGCACAGCUAAUGGGCCAAAAUAAACCUUGUAUUAUAGUUAUAGUCUGAAAAAGCAAACAAAAAGUUAAA
rnacentral:misc_RNA from 1 species